GAUUCAUUUGUGUGAGAUUCACCUUGAGGGCAUUCAAUUUUAACUAAUGGAUGAAGAAUUGGAACAAUAAUGGUAUGGAGUUGAUUAUCCACAAAUUCAAUUUAAAGAUAGUUUAUCAACAAUGUAAAUAGUCCAGAAAACUAAUAUUAUUCAUUGAUCAAAUUUCCCAUGAACAUAAAUUUAUAAACAGAUAUUGAGUACCCACAACGCAAAUUUAAUUUAAAGAAAGUUUAUCAAGAAGCUCAUCCUCAAGUAUAAUUCUCAAGAUGGAAAAUUGAAACAUAAACAAAGAAAAAAGAGGAAAAUAUAUUAAGGUAAGUUAUAAUAAAAGUUGGGAACAAAAAUAUGAAUGGUUAAAACAGCAUUCAGGGUCGACUGUAGAAUGUAAUAUAUGUGUAUCACGCUUUUCAAUAAGUGGAGAGUAUGAUAUAAUCAAACAUAUGAAAACUAACAUAUAUCAGCUGGCAAAUGAACAAUCUAGAACCAAUACUUAUAUACCUUUAUACGCAACCAAAUAUUCUAAGAAUGAAACCUUGUCUGUUAUUGCUGUAACAACCUAUAUAUCAUUCCAUAAAGCAAUAGCUAUAUGCCGGCUAAUUGUUCAAGCAAGCUAUUUUACACCGUUUUUCC